AUUGAACGCUGGCGGCCGGCUUAACACAUGCAAGUCGAGCGGAGAUGAGGUGCUUGCACCUUCUCUUAGCGGCGGACGGGUGAGUAAUGCCUAGGAAUCUGCCUAGUCGUGGGGGACAACAGUCCGACAGGAACGCUGAUACCGCAUACGACCUCGCGGAGAAAGCAGGGGCCCUCCGGACCUUCCGCUAACAGCUGACCCGAUGUCGGAUUAGCUAGUUGGUGGGGUAAAGGCCUACCAAGGCGACGAUCUGUAGCGGGUCGGAGAGGAUCGGCCGGCACACUGGGCCUGAGACACGGCCCAGACUCCUACGGGAGGCAGCAGUGGGGAAUAUUGGACAAUGGGGGGAACCCUGAUCCAGCCAUGCCGCGUGUGUGAAGAAGGCCUUAUGGUUGUAAAGCACUUUAAGCGAGGAGGAGGCUACUGAGACUAAUACUCUUGGAUAGUGGACGUUACUCGCAGAAUAAGCACCGGCUAACUCUGUGCCAGCCGCCGCCGUAAGAC
rnacentral:rRNA from 1 species